rnacentral:rRNA from 1 species
UACGGGGGGGGCCAGCGUUGUUCGGAAUUACUGGGCGUAAAGGGCGCGUAGGCGGUCUGCUAAGUUGGAUGUGAAAACUCUGGGCUUAACCCAGAGCCUGCAUUCAAUACUGACAGGCUAGAGUUCUGGAGGGGAUAGCGGAAUUCCUGGUGUAGCGGUGAAAUGCGUAGAUAUCAGGAGGAACACCGGUGGCGAAGGCGGCUAUCUGGACAGAAACUGACGCUGAGGCGCGAAAGCUAGGGGAGCAAACAGG